CCUGGAGGACACUGACAGGCUCCGCUCACAGGAUCACAGAGAGCUCCGUUCUCACAUUUGCACUCCUGACGGCAGUCUGGACCCCAGUGUUUGUGAUUGCAGGCUGGGGCAUAAAAGGACAACACUGAAGAAGUCAACACACAGGCAUCCAGGAAGGGUCGGCUUAUAUUCAGCCAAAAAUGGCUCCGUUUCAGAAUAACCGAGGAGAAAAUGGAGAAGGAGGACAGAAAACCAACACAGAGACAGAAAAGGAGAAAGAAAGACAACUUAAAGGAGGGUUUGGAAGGCAAUGUAAGAGGAUACGUGCAGUAGGAGAGUGGGGUCAUAUUUUCCAUUUCCUUCUCCCAUCCUCCCCCUGUCAAGGCAUCGGCCGCUACACACUGAUGGGAGGGGGGGCAGUGUACUAUUGACCCAGCUGACAGAGGAGAAAAGAACAGUGAAUUUAAGAAGCGUUACUUUCUCAACUAUUAAAUCGUUUCCUGGACCGAGACCUUGAUGAUUCAUUGCUACAGUUGUAUGUCGUCAUGCUCCCUUGCUGUUUCCACUGCAAAAACCUUCUGUGUUAUGAGAGGGGAGAAAGAAAAAAUACAUGCAGAAAAAUGAAAAUAAGCAGAUUCUCACAGCUGGAACAAUCGUCACCCCGCCAUCCUUUCUCACACUGGCAACGGUUUGGAGCAACACAGCGACCGUGGACGCACUCC